GUUCAUUUUUGUAGCACAUAGAUUAAAAUUGGAAUGAUAAAGAAAAGAUGAGCAAAGUCCUUGAGCAAAGUUGACACAUAAAUUUGUGAAGACAAGUUGUUU